rnacentral:rRNA from 1 species
UACGAAUAAUAUGCUGACUAAAGUUUAUUAACACUAAAGGACAAAAAGACCCUCUGAAGCUUUAUAGGGAUAAAACUUGGGUAACAUUCUCAAUACAAAUAUUCUUAUUGCAUGCCAGCUAAAGUAGUAAAUUAUUGGUUUUCUCCUAAGACCACUGUUUAAUUGGGGCGAUAACCUUAUCAACAGCCACCUAAGGUGAACAAAGCGAUACAAGGAUCCUAAACUUUUGACCAACUAAUAAGUGCAAAGAUACAUGUUUCGCUUAAUGGCCCAACAAGUCCUUCCCAGUACUUAAAUGCUAUCUUAAUGAGCUUUAAAUUAAUUUACCCGAGUUAAGCUACUCUACGGAUAACAGGCUUAAUUUCCGCAAUAUUAAAGGUCACAUUAUCACGAAAAAUGUACCUCGAUGUCGGCUUAUCAUCACUAAAAUAGGUAGCUUAAUUAUUGGUGGGAGUGCUCAUCCCGUAAAUUGGUUCGUGAGCUGGGUUCAAUACGAUGG